UAGGCGGCCUUUUAAGUCUUGUUUCAAAGCCCCCGGCUCAACCGGGGAAAGGGGCAGGAUACUAGAAGACUAGAGAUAUAUCGGGGUUACUGGAAUUUGUAGUGUAGGGGUAAAAUCCGUGGAUACUACAAAGAACACCAAUCGCGAAGGCGGGUAACUAGGUAUUUUCUGACGCUGAAAGACGAAAGCUAGGGUAGCAAAUCAGAUUAGAGACCUGAGUAGUCCUAGCCGUAAACGAUGUCUGUUAAUUUUUUCCCGCUUUGCGGGAGGAGAUGUAAGCUAACGCGUUAAACAGACCGCCUGGGGAGUAUAGCCGCAAGGCCGAAACUCAAACGAAUUGGCGGGGAGGCGCACAACCAGUGGAGCAUGUGGUUCAAUUCGAUACAAAGCGAUGAACCUUACCUGGGUUUGACAUAUAUUUGCACGGCCUCAGAAACGAGGCUUUCCUUCGAGGGUAAUAUACAGCUGUUGCAUGGCUGUCGUCAGCUCGUGACGUGAGUUGUUCUCUUAAGUGAGGUAACGAGCGCAACCCCCAUCGUAUGUUAUCGUGUCAUACGAAACUGCCCAGCAUUAUUUUUGUUGGGAGGAAGGAGGGGACGACGUCAAGUCAGCAUGAUGCUUAUGUCCAGGGCUACACACAUCCUACAAUGGGGUAUACAACGGGUCGCAAUAGCGCAAGCUGGAGCUAAUCCUUAAAAUACCCCUCAGUUGGGAUUGCAGGCUGAAAUUCGCCUGCAUGAACUUGGAAUUGGUAGUAAUCGCAGAUCAGCAGACUGCGGUGAAUACGUUCUCGCCUCUUGCACACACUGCCCGUCAAAUCAACAAAGUUGAGGGCACCCAAAAUCCCGUUUACGGGACUAAGGUGAAUUCAGCGAUGAGGGUUAAGUCGUAACAAGGUAACC
rnacentral:rRNA from 1 species